rnacentral:rRNA from 1 species
GGGNNAAUUGNGGUCGCUUAUGCAUGCAAGUCGAGGGAGAACCAGUUGAUUCGUAAGAUUCGGCUGGGGAAACCGGCGAACGGGUGCGUAACACGUGAGGAACCUGCCCCGAAGACCGGGAUAGCCCGAGGAAACUCGGAUUAAUACCGGAUACCCUCUUUGGACCACAUGGUCCGUUGAGGAAAUGGUCCGCCGCUUCGGGAUGGCCUCGCGGCCUAUCAGCUUGUUGGUGAGGUAAUGGCUCACCAAGGCAGAGACGGGUAGCUGGUCUGAGAGGACGAUCAGCCACACUGGGACUGAGACACGGCCCAGACUCCUACGGGAGGCAGCAGCAGGGAAUAUUGCACAAUGGGCGAAAGCCUGAUGCAGCGACACCGCGUGCGGGAUGAAGGCCUUCGGGUUGUAAACCGCUUUCAGGAGGGACGAAAAUGACGGUACCUCCAGAAGAAGGCCCGGCCAACUACGUGCCAGCAGCCGCGGUAAUACGUAGGGGCCAAACGUUGUCCGGAUUUAUUGGGCGUAAAGGGCUCGUAGGCGGUUCAAAAGGUCGGUCGUGAAAGCCCGGGGCUCAACCCCGGGACGCCGGUCGAAACUGUUGUGACUAGGGUCCGGUAGAGGUGAGUGGAAUUCUCGGUGUAGCGGUGGAAUGCGCAGAUAUCGAGAGGAACACCGGUAGCGAAGGCGGCUCACUGGGCCGGUACCGACGCUGAGGAGCGAAAGCAUGGGGAGCAAACAGGAUUAGAUACCCUGGUAGUCCAUGCCGUAAACGAUGAACACUAGGUGUGGCGGACUUAUUGACGUCUGCCGUGCCGAAGCUAACGCAUUAAGUGUUCCGCCUGGGGAGUACGGCCGCAAGGCUAAAACUCAAAGGAAUUGACGGGGCCCCGCACAAGCGGCGGAGCAUG